rnacentral:misc_RNA from 1 species
GAUGAAGAACGUAGCGAAAUGCGAUAAGUAGUGUGAAUUGCAGAAUUCAGUGAAUCAUCGAAUCUUUGAACGCAUAUUGCGCUCUUUGGUAUUCCGAAGAGCAUGCUUGUUUGAGUAUCAGUAAACACCUCAAAGACUUCAAUUUGUUAUGAAUGGCUUUGGACUUGAGCAAUCCCAACACCAGUCUUUACGAUCGGUGGAGGGUUGCUUGAAAUGCAGGUGCAGCUGGACAUUCUCCUGAGCUAAAAGCAUAUUUAUUUAGUCCCGUCAAACGGAUUAUUACUUUUGCUGCAGCUAACAUAAAGGGAGUUUGACCGUAUUGGCUGACUGAUGCAGGAUUUCACAAGGGUCGGCAACGAUUCUUGUAAAACUCGAUCUCAAAUCAAGUAAGACUACCCGCUGAACUUAAGCAUAUCAAUAAGCGGAGGA